UGUUAUUUUUAACCCAGCCGUCGGAUCUAUUAAUUACCGGAGAGCCAAAACUUCUAACGCGUCGGCUUUCCCUUCUGUCCUCGCCUUCGUGUCCUGCUCUCUCUUUCAAGGCAAGAAGAGGCAUUGCUUUCUCGCUCGCUUUUGAAAAAGGCAAAGAGAAAGAAGAGGAGAUCAAUUCACUCUGCGAUAGAUCCGUUCCUGUUGAAGAAAACAAUUGAACUACUCUUCGAUCCUUGGGUGCUAUUCUGGGAAAGGGAUUUUUGAAGGUGGUUGUUACUAUCUGGCGUCAUGAGUUUUGUAUUUCGAGGAAGCAGAGCAGACAUCGAGAGUGGGCUCCCAGGGUUCAUCCCAGAGAGGCGCACUGCGCGUAUGCAUCCGGUUGGUCGGCCUGUUAAUACCAACUCCAUGGCUUUUCUUGUCACUGUUCUUUUGCUGUUUACGAUAUUGAAUUCGCAUCAUAUGUCACCAAACUUUCUGCUUUGGCUAGCGUUGGGAGUGUUUUUGAUGGCCACCAGCCUGAGGAUGUAUGCCACAUGCCAGCAACUCCAUGCCCAAGCCCAAGCUCAUGCUGCAGCUGCCAGUGGCUUGCUUAGGCAUACUGAGGUGCGGCUGCAUGUGCCCCCAUCCAUAGCCUUUGCAACAGGAGGGCGAUUGCAAAGCCUUAGGCUCCAACUUGCGCUUCUUGACCGGGAAUUUGAUGAUUUAGAUUAUGAUGCUCUGAGAGAACUAGAUGCUGAUAAUGCUUCUGAGUCUCCUUCUAUGAGUGAGGAAGAAAUUAAUGCUCUUCCUAUACACAAGUACAAAGCUAGUUCACAGAAGGGUUCUUCCUCAAGCCGACAAAGUGAUAGAUCAUCACUGCAACAGGCAUCAUCAUCUUCUGCAUCUGCAGCUGAGAGGAAGCAGGACUGUGUCAAAGCUGAUGGGAGUGUGAAAACCUCUGAAGAUGAACUGACAUGCACUGUCUGCUUGGAGCAAGUUAAUGCAGGAGAACUGAUAAGAAGUUUACCCUGCUUGCAUCAGUUUCAUGUGAACUGUAUUGAUCCAUGGUUGCGCCAGCAAGGCACAUGCCCUGUCUGUAAACAUAGAGUGAGUUCAGGUUGGCGUGAAAGUGGUGACGGUGAAAUGGAUGCUUCUUAUAUGGUUUAGUACAUGAAUACACCCUUUUGGUAUCGAUACUGGAUGCAUAAGAGCAUGUGGCCAAUAUGUAUUAGGUAUGAUACGCACUUGUAUGAACAUCCCGUGCACAGUGUAGCUAUAAGUGGCUCCGGGCCUCUUCAGUCUGUAUCUGGCCAGAAUAUAGGUGCAGGCAGGAUAUAGUAGGUUCUCAGUUCUACCAGCUUUUAAUUUACCUGAUCUCGCCCAGGUUCGGUCCAAGCCCUUGCGAUUUUCACCAAUAAUGUCUCGCUACUGUUGGAGUCUGAUGUUGCAAUAGCAGCUCAUGUUACAACCUUCACUUAUAUUAUACAUCAUAAGGCGUGCGUUAUAUGCAUUUCAGGUGUGUAUAUGAAAAUGAGGUUGCUUGAUCGAUAUGAACUGUUGUUUUUCAUCAGCAUGGUCCAAAAUAGGUAUUUUAAUCCAUAUAACUUAUCUAAUGUAUACUUAUUCUUUCAU